ACACAAAAGCUACACAAAUAUUUGACAACAGCUACAUUUUAAACUCCAACAAAAGCAACAAACAGCAAUUGUACUAAACAGCAUCUCAAUAACAGACAGUGUAUCAAGGACAGCAACAAUCCGUCGAAAGCGUAAAGUCGACGAAGCUGGCAAAAGAGAAGAAGAAAGAAGAAGAGUGGAAUAAGGGGAGUAAAAAAAAGUUGGAACGUUGGAGCUUGAAGGCGGAAGGAAGAAAAGUCAGGGUUUGAGGGAGACGGGACUUUGGAGCAGGAGGGUUACGUUCCAGAAACUUGGUUCCAUGGCUCCUUUGCAGCAUCCAGGAGGCCCCGAACCCAGUUACCCUGUUUGCUGUUCCAGCG